rnacentral:lncRNA from 1 species
CCACCACGCUGACUGGAUGAUGGCUUUUUAAGGACAAGAGUCUCCUUUCAACCUGUUGGCUUGUUUUCAGUAAACCUUUUUCUUCCCCCCUCAUUCUGUCCCCCCAGUGUUUGGCGGCAGCAGAACUCGACCUUUCACAGUUGCAUUUUCGCAGAAAAGAAAGCGAAAAAAGUCCAGGAAGAAGGGAAAGACGUCCAGUGAGGGGAACGCGGAGCCCAGGAGGACUGCGCCCCGUUCCUUCCCGCCGCUGGUCAGGGGUCUUAGGGCUCCGCUCCUCUCAAGAACCUGAGCACCAAGCUGCAGUUGUACCGGCAGAGCCUGGUCCUUGCCUGUAAAUAUGGAUGCUGAUGUUGUUAGGGUUGUUAUGAGGCUGAAAUAAAAUACAGUGGCACCUCGGUUCUCGAACUUACUCUGUUCCACCAUUCUGGAGAAGAUGGCUUGAGGUCAUGUUCCUCACCUGAUGCAAUGUUCUCAAAUGCAAGCAAAAUUUUGCUGAGCCCUUCUGUUGGUGAACAGAAUUGUUUUCAAACAGAAGAAUUUGCGAACUAAGAACUAAUAGAAAGUAAUUGAACACAAAAUCUGAGCAAGAAGAGUCAGAUGAAUUGAAUAUGUGACAUUUCAAGGCAUCAGGCUGUGACCGCCAUCUUACCAAAGGAACAGCCUUAGUACAGACAUUGGAGAACAUGAUGCCUCUGGACAGGACAGAAUGGAUACUACCUACCUUCACCCCACUGCCUUUCCUCAGUCUUGGCCUUCAGGGAUGACCAGGGCCCCCUUCAGAUUGACCUAUUCUUCCUUCAGCUAAUGACAAGUAUAAUUAAGAAGUGUUUGAUGACUCCUGAACAGCUAGCUAUCUUUCAUGUCAAUCACAUUUCCCAUGAUCAGCACAGGAAGUGUGAAAAAGAAAAGCUAUUUUUGCUGAACUUAACUCUUUCAGAAGCAUUCAAAUUUGGUAGCAGUGAGUUCACUUUCUGAUACAUUCAGGUAAUGAAGCUAACAGGUACUGUUACAUAUCUCUUCCGGUCAUUCUGGCCAUUGAACUCAAGUACAAGAUGUCUUUGUAGAUCUAUAAAUAAUAGUAUUUUCUAUUUCCCUGCCUGUAAGUGUUG